rnacentral:lncRNA from 1 species
UUUUUUUUUUGGGUCCAGAAUAAUGGUUCUCUUGAUUUGACCAUUUCACCUGACGGAUUAGUCGAUCAGAUUAGAUGUUGAGAGAAAAGCGAGAAACUUAUUUCAACACUCUCAUUCACGUUGAGGCCUUGAGACUCCUGUAGAGGCAUGGUGAUGUCAACUCGAAGUGCACUGCAAUUAGCUUUACCUGAAACUGUGUUAGCUAUUUAUCGGACUCUGAGUCGUACAGCAUUUGGACAGUUCAUCCAAAAGUUAAAAAUGCUUGAUCACGCUACCUACCACAGAUUAUGAGCUGGAUAAGUUCUUCAUGCUAAUAUAUGCAUAGUCCAUGGCCUAAAAAUUUUAUACGGAAAUGAAAGUUCGCAAGAGGUCUACUCAUGUCUAGUUAUCUCAUGGUUGAAUGACUCUACUGUAAUUACAUCCAAACUAUACUUUAUUUUAGCAUGCAUUCAUUUGAGUUUAUAGGUCAGUGGUAGAUAGUGUACGCUGUCAUUGCUGUGUGAGAAUGGGGAGCACACAUGAUUGGUUCAGGUAGAGGGAAUUGUGAUUGUCAGGGCGGUUUCCCUGAGCUGAGGACACUUGUCUAGCAUUCUACCAUUUUCAGAGGCUCAGAGCACAGCAUGUGAAGAAAUUGAGGGCUCCUACAACCGAGAAACAUGCAUGUUUCCCGGUCCAAUUUACAGUUAAGCUUUAUCUUUCCUUUCCAAUUGCUGAUUUUUCAAAAAGAAAUUGUUUCUUUUUUGUUUCAGCUGAAGGAGUUUAUCUUGAGCCAGGCCGAGGCGUACGAGUUUAAGAUUGGUGAUAAAGUUUUCCGCAGACCUGGAGACCCGCCCCUGGACCAAGUUCUUGAAAAGCUUCAGAAAGAGAAGAAUCAUAAAUCACAAGAGGAACUUUAGAUCCAUUCACCAAUCUGUUCUGCAUGUGCUGUUCGUUCGUUCAUUGUCUAGUAUAGCAGUUUUACACUGUUACCUUUUUAUUACAAUUUGACAAGAUUACAAGUAUCCCUCUUUGCAAAUGCCAUGUGUACCUUUUGGAAUCUGGAGUACGGUAAGCACCGUGUGUCUUCCCCACGUUCUAAACGCAACUAUAAUGCACGUGUCGCCCGUUGUUCAUCACUGAUCAGAGUGUUUAGUGUCGCCAGCCGCUGCCCGAUGUUGGCCGUUGCAGCUUGUCGGUUCAUUUGCUGCUGCCUGGUGCAGGUGCAGCCUUGCCGUUUGAAGCCAGAACUCCUGUGUACUAGAAAGUUAAGAGCGUACUGGCGUGAUCAGCGACCAACAGCGACGUCGUCUUUGCCCGUCACCGAAGCCUACUGGUCGCGUAGAGACCGCUGGCCAACAGCGACGGCCGCCAUGGCACCAUCACCGAUUCACCUCUCUGUCUGUCCGACGCGGUGUCUCUACCCCGGCCGCCCUGGGCUGAGCCGGCCACGAGGUGGCUUCAGAUACCUGCAACCUGUUUGCCUGAACAACCGGCAUCAUCACAAGGGCUUUGGAUGGCAAGCUAGCUAGAUCCUCGGCAGAGUUAAUCCGGGGAUCAGAAAGAUACGGGCGCCCGAUUAGUGGCACGUAUCUAAUCGGCCUGCAUUGUGGGCCACACGCCCCUGCGCUGCGCCGGACGCAACGGGCAUGCCGCGGCGCCGGUGGCGUUCGCGGCUGGCGAAACGCUCAGGCAGGGCAGACGCAACGCAACCCGCGCCCGGAUUUCCCGGCCCAUCUAGCCAGCGCUCCCAGCACCACCCCCACGCACGUCGCGGUCGCGCCCAUGGCUCGCCACGCGCACGCACGCAGGCAAGCGAAACGGGCGCCCACCUGCCGCGGUGAUCCGUCGGCGGCCGAUCCAACGGCCCGCGCGUGGCGUUCUAGUACGUGCGCGUGUCGUCUGGUCUCGCGUAGACGGCCGGGGCGCGGCGUGGCGGCUGUUUUUCCCCCUCCCGUUGAGUGCUCGCCAACCUCUUGUGCUUCCUUCCAAGCUUCCGCCUAAUCAGAGGGAGAGGGAGGUCGGGCUAGCUCGCGGUGCCAAGCUGGAGGUAGAAAAUGAAGGAGACUUGUCUUCGCGCCCACGCACGACUUCCAAGAUAUCUUCGGUGGAGCCGGCCGGCCGGCCGGCCGGACCUUAUAUAAAAGUUCCGCCGCGCCCCCCUGGCUCAUCCCGUCACUUCGACCGGAAGAAACACGAUAGCAGCUGCUCCCUCCGCGGCUCCAGCAAAAGGUCGACCGAGCUAGAAGAAACUAGACGCCCGUCGCGCCUGCCCGCAACCUUUCAGAAGGCCGAGGUACUGACUGAUCGGAUCGAUCGGAUUCGUCUCGCCGGCCGCCGCGGCAGCUUGCGCCGAUCUACCAGAUGGGCGUCGCGUUCCGGUGCUUCGGUGGGGGCGUAGCAGCCCACGACCCCAAGCCGCCAUUGAUGACGCCGUCGUCGAGCUUCGACUUCCGGGAGGAGUACACCAGCGCGUUCCGGACCGAGUCCUACAACGACUUCUGGGCGCGCGUCCUGGACAUCACCCUCGCGCACGGCGCCGGGCUGGUGCCGCGCCCCGGCGGCGGCACCGGCGGCACGGCGUCCAAGCGCCUCCCCUCCUACCGCCUCUUCGCCGAGCACCUCCUCGAGCCGGACCAGCGCGCCGUCCGCACGGCCCUCGCCUCCGCCGGCAAGGGCCGCCUCCAACCCGGCGCGCACGACCUCCUCGCCACCUACUACAACGAGACGGCCAACGCCUCCUUCCUGUGCAGCCACCUGCUCAGGGACAUCGAGCAGGUCCGUCUCCGCUACCGCCCGCUCAAGAACACGCUCCGCAAGCUCGCCCGCGACGUCGGGGUGUCCAACCUCGCCGACGUCUCCGCCGCCCUCGGCCAGCCUUUCACCGCGCUCGCCGUGUCGCAGGGCAAGCUCCGCCAGGCGCAGCUCAGCUCCGCCGAACUCCUCAGGAGCCUCGACUCGAGCAGGAAGAAGACGCGCCUCCGGAUCAAGACCCUCGCCCGCCUCAGGCGAGUCCUCUCGGUCUCGUUCGUCUCAGCCGCGGUCGUCGUGGCCGUCGUCGGCGCGUGCAUCGGCGUGCACGUCCUGGCCGCGUUCGCGGCCUUCCCGAUGAUGCCGUCGGCGUGGCUGGGCCUCUUCUCCGGCCGGACGGAGCGGCGAGCUCUGGUGCAGCUGGAGGCCGCGGCCAAGGGCACGUACAUACUCAACAGGGACAUGGAUACCAUAAGCCGGCUCGUGGCGCGGGUGCGCGACGAGGGGGAGCACAUGCUCGCGCUGCUGCAGCUGUGCGUGGACAACCGCGCGGCGGCCGGCGAGAAGGGAAGGUUGGUGCAGGAGGUGUUGAAGCAGCUCUGCAAGAACGAGGAGAACUUUGCGCAGCAGCUGGACGAGCUGGAGGAGCACCUCUUCCUGUGCUUCAUGACCAUCAACAAGGCCAGGAGCAUGGUGAUGAAGUUCAUAGCUGCUGCGGAGCAAGGUUCCGGUUGCCACGAGAAAGAAUAAAAUUGUGCUUGUAGAACAUACUUUAGCCUGCACAUACUAGCUUCUAUUUUUCUGUACAGAAAAAAGAGGAAAAAAAGAUAGGCUAAAAGAUUUCUCAACACAGGCCUUUGUGCUUUUGUUUGAAUUUUCCUACCAAUAAACAUUAUAUUGAGCGUUUGAAAUAAUAGCCUGAUCGAGGGCUUAAAUACCCAGCAUAUACAACGAUUUCAGUAUAGUGAAGCUGAAACAAUAGCCACUCAAACAAUUUUUCUGUAGUUACGAAUACAUUAUUAAAGUGCAACCACUAGGGUCUUAUCCAUUCAGUACCCUGCAUAUGCUGAAUACAAAAGCCUGAUUUAGGGUUUUACUACCUGCAUAUGCUGAAUUCCAGUAUUGUGAAACUGAAACAAUAGCCACUCUAAGAAAUUUUCAAGAGCUCAGAAUACAAACUCCGCGGUGCAAUCACAGGAACUUUGUUCAUUCACUACUAUGUGUUUAUGCCUCUACAGAACAUAUGACACGACGCAAAUGCCCCAUAUUUCCACUUGAUCGACUAAAAAAACAAGCCGCUUACACAAGUACAUAACAACAGAAUGGUGAACAGAAGGAAAUGUAGACAAAACUUUUGCCAAAACUUGUAAGCUUUGCAUUUCAAUCUACACUUCUUAUAUCACAUAAUAAAUGGUAAUCAAGCAGGUUUAUGUUAUAAAUGAAUUUUCACCCAAUAUAGUAGAGAGUCAAAUCAAACAGGAAAAAUUCUCCCUUCAGGAAUCUUUCUCUCCACUUGGCUAAUCUUUGAGGGCGGCCAAAUGAUGUGGGUCACCCUCCCCUCAACUAGACCUAAGGGAAUCUGAAAAACAGCAGAAACAACAACAUAAGUACCGAUGCAGUAUAAUUUAUAAUAACAAAUUAUAUUGGUUUCUCAUAAUCAUUUUUAUAACUAGUCCUGAACUAUAGAUAGGUCAUUCACUUUUGUUGCUCAUCAAAAUAGCCAACAAACUGUGCCCAAUUUAAUCUUUCUUGCCAACCCUAUACCUAUUUGAUUAGUUCUUUUAUGCCAUUUCAGAUAGGUGGUCCAACUACAAAUGAAGCAAACCAUGUGUCUAUCUAAACAAGCACGCUGCAGAGCUCGUUAGUAGCAGCUUUAUGACACAAAAAUUCCAUACUUGGCAAUCAAUACAACAAUUCUUUCAGAUCGCAGAUUAAACCAAGUUGUUGCCCGUUUUAUGCUCAUGUAAGAUUGCAAUAGAGCUAUAUAAACAGAAAGACAGUUCUGAAAGUUGUUAAGCCUUUACUGUCCUCACCAAGUAUAAAGUGUGUGACUCUGACCUCAGGUGCAUUAAUGUGCUUGCCUUUUGUGAACUUCUGAUAUAGGUUGUCUUGACUGUCACCCUUUUCUUUUCUUUUUUGUUUUGUUUUCAUUUUUUCGGUUUCUGUUUUUUUUUUGUAUCUAGCUUUGUGCAGAUUGGUCCAUAGUCCUCAGUGUUUGUUCCAUAGGAGUUCGAUUUUCAGGGAAAAAAAAUACAACCAGGAAUAAGAGAUAAUUUACCAUUUUGCAAUAAUCUUAGUUUUAUAGUUUGCUAUUAACCAUGUAUAUUGAAUGUUGUAACAUAUAAUACCAUAUAGCAUUAUUCAAAGAGAUACCAGCAGGGACAAGCAUUAAUGUGAUUAUGGAUAUUCUAGUAAUGUUUGGUUAUCUGCUGCCCUCUAUCACCUAAUGGUUAAUCGCAUUUCCUGCCCAGACAAUUCAUACGCAUACUCUAGGCACCCAGUCUCCAUUUAAAAUGGUGGGGAAGUAUCUCAGAACUUGAUCACUGAAGAAGAACUCCUACAAGUUUCAAAUUCUAUAACAAGUUAAGCCCUGAUUCUUUGUACAAGUACCAGUGCUGGGCGACUUGCUACGACCUCCCUAGUUUUCAGAUCCACACGUAUCAACAAUACUGUCCCCAAGAUUGAAAUAUGGAAAAAAAUCCAACCAUGAAACAAAAAGUACCCUAACCCAUCAAUAUUUGAUACUAAACAAGAGCACUGGAUGUGUUAAUAAUUUUCAUUCAACCAACUUUUACAUUGUUAACACUGGCGGAACUACAUAUAGGCCCCACUAGCCAAUUGCAAAAUCCAUUAACUAGCUACUAAUUGAUUCUUAGAAAUUAAAAAAUGGGCACAUUAACCAACAUAUUCGUACUAAUGGCCCCCUCUUGAUUUGUGUUCUAGCUCCGCCACUGAUUAUUAACAUAGACAAGGGUACAGAUCAGUUGGAGAAGAAGCAACUUACUGGUCCGAAUGCUCUAGAAUCCCAACUACGAGCAGCGUUAUCACCUUCAACCCAGCAAUGCCCUUCUGGGAUCUUAGUAACCUUAGGGGACCCAGGGAGCUGUACCCACUCACCAGGAAGCGCGAUCAAUCUCUUCACAAACAACUCCUUAUGAUUGCUAGGGCACCUGCAGACCACACAAGGAACGGUCAGGCUUGACUAAGUUAGCAGCAUCAAUCUUUUUGCGGAAUUGCCCUCAUCCUUACUUGAACAAAAUGAUAUCACCGUGUGAGAACUUGUACUUCUCAAGGCAUCUUCUUUCUGCUAAAAUGAAAUCACCUGGUUCCAACACCCUGGUCAGCACAAACGGGAAGACGAACUACUUGAAUAGGGAAGAACGACCCAACUGUCCAUGCCAGCUUGAUAUGUACAAAUUGAAAUCACAAUACCCUGUAAGACACUGCUGGCCGCUGUGAACGUAGGGUGCAUCGAUUCACCGAUCACCGAGACGAAAGUCACAUAACGAUCAGAAAUGGUGAUGCCAAGUAAAACUGCCAUUACAUUCUUCUUGGCAAUUGACCAGAGAUGGCUGUAGGUUCCCAUAUCCAAGUGUCCAACUAUCCAGUCAUAAGGAUAGUAACAGUAAGUGAUAAUACAAUCAACUGGGCAGCAAAGACAACGAACGGUGCAUACAAGAACUACGUGGAAGCAGAAAUUCCUCCGACGGAUUCAACUUCGAGGGAUGUGGAGUCAAUCAAGACUUACCCAGAAAUGGUGGUACAGUCGUACGGAUGGGUUCCCACAGAUCAAGCGGGGUUACGAGCAGACUAAGCUCCGAAGAGGCGCCCAAGAAGAACGAUGAGAUGUUGUCGGCGGCGGCGGCGGCGGCGCGCGCGCAGGGGCCGGGUUUGGGUUGGGCGCGCCUGUUCGGUCGGAGGACGGUGCGCGCCCUAGUCGGUAAAAGAGAUAGAGGAUGCGUCCGAUCGCGCAUCAACGGUGUAAUUAAAAGCACGUUCAUCAACGGACGGAGCCGGGGCGAGCCGAGCAGGUAGGGUCUAGUUCAAGCAACCCAAGUGUUCACCAUUAGGUCGGCUCCGACCCGCAGCCCGCCCGGCCCAGAGACAGCGCCCCUGCCACCGUCGGUGGCGGCGACCAGUCCCCGGGAGCCAAAGCGCCACCGCCCCGCCCCGCCCCUGCCGUGCCGCGCCCCGGCCCUCCUCCGACCUCUCUCCGGUGAAGACCGCCCCCCCCCCCUCCUCCCGCGGCUGCCGUCGCUGCCGUCCCGGGUGCUUCCUCGGCGAGGAGCGCGCCGCGCCGUCCUGCCCCCCGGGGGACCUCUCCUCCGCCCCCGUGUCCUCUCCCGACAUCCUUCCGCGGAUCCCCUAUCCCACCCCAUCCCGUCCCGGUAAGCGCCUCUUCUAUAGACCGCACCCUGCGUCUGUGCUCUUAGUUUAAUCUGCUCGACGGAAUCUGGAUUCGCACGGGCAUCUGGAGUAGGGUUUUUGCGUUUCGGAUUACGUAGUUUUUGGUUCCUCACUGGUCCGUCACGCUUUUACUCACAGCUUAGGUUAUGGCCCUGGAUUUUUAUUAGGGUUUUGUGUUUUGGUAGAAUGUGUUGCUAGUGGGUUAAUGCGGAACAGAUGAUUGUUCUGUAGCGGUGGGUGGCAGGCUAGAGAAUGCUGUGAAAUGUCACAACGGAUUUGAGUGUGUGACCUCUGUCCUGUGCUUUAGUACGGGAUAUUUGAGGCUAUAGGUUUUUUGCUAUGGGUAUUGGAAGGAUUGUGGAAUUUAGUUCCAGGAUAUGUGAGGUUAUGGUGUCAAUUAUUACUCAUUGUUGUGUUUCUUCAUCUUCAUUGCCCCUCAAUUGUCUUCUAUUCUGGUGCACGAGUUUGUUGUUUUUACCCCCAACGCCACUUUUAGGUUGUUAUCUUAUGUUACACUUUAUUCAUACAUUACUUCUGACUCAUUAUAGUUAGGGUUCCCUUAUAGUUAUAGGAGUAUAGAAGGUGUUUAGAGUUUGUUUUUGCAGUUGAGGAGUUCCAUUGUACUAUUGGAAUUUAUAUGCUUAUGCUAAUUAUUAAUGCUAAAUGUUUAGCAAAUUUGGAUUUGAGACUUCCAUUCAAUUGAAGACCUUGUUCUGCAGUUCCAUCAUAACAAUUUCACCUGUCGAAUACUGAUUUCCUUAUGCUAUCGUAUACCUCGAUAUUGAUAUUGCUUAUGAUUUGUUUGUGUAUAGGAAUCUCAACAGUCUAGCCAAGUUUUCUCAUCUGAGUUUUAUUAUUGGGAAAAUUAACAGUUUCCUGACUGUAUGCGAUAGAAACUACCAUGGAUGGGUCUGAGUCUAGUAGAGGUCGCAGCAACCAGGAGGUUGAGGACAAUGUUAAUUCUAGGAGCAGCUGGAAGGAGGAACAUGAAAAUCAGGAUGAUGCAGAUGGCAGAAAGUAUUCUGACAGAUCCAGAAAACAUGGAUAUGAAUAUGAAGUUGGGCAUCAGGAUGAUGAUAGAAUGGCUACACCUUCAAAUGAUAGGAAUGAAUCAAGGAGGAACUCAGAUAGAAGCUCAGGCCUGGCCCGCAGUGCUGACGAAGAUGUCUAUAAUGUGAGAAAGGACUCACGAUCACCCAAAGUUCCAAGGAGAAGCCCUGAUGAUUCCAAGGAUAGGGACUAUGAUAGAAGGAGGGGAAGAGAGGAUAAUAAUGAUUGGGAACCUUCAAGAAGAUUUAGCCCUGAUGCUUCUGCUAGGAGUUCAGAGAGGAGAGAGGGCAGCAGGGAGAAGCAAGGGCAACGGGACCAAGAGGAAAAGGCUUCAGUCAGGAGGGCAGAUGAGGUUUAUGCGGAUGAAAGUGGUGGUUCUCUUAGGGUUGACACAAGAGAAGCCCAUAGAGAUGAUAAAUCAGACAGAGGGAGGGACAGAAAUUGGAAUGAGAAAGCCCGAGACCUUGAAGGGUCCAAGGAUUAUGGGAGGAACAGUCAGUUGCGAGAUCCUCAGGAGGCAAAUGAUGCUGAAUGGAGGAAUGCACAGGAAAGGCUAGAUGGUGGGAGUUUCCAUGGCCGAGGUGGGUACCGGAGAGAUUCUAGGGGUAGGUCUGAAAGUGUUAGAGGUCCCUCAACCUAUGGGAAUCGCUAUGACAAUUCUGAUUCCAUAGAGAUUCGGCCUAAUAGUAGUCUUAAUUUUGGAAGAGAGGGCUCUGUUUCUGGGAGAAGGUUUGAAGUGGGAGCAAAUCGGGAUUCAGUACCAGGAGGAACUGAUGAUAAAUCCACUGAUAAUCCUGAAUUAGAACCAAGUGGUAGCACCAACAUGGUUUCUUCAUUUCCUCAACAAGGUCCAAAAGGUGAUAGACCAUCCAGAGGAGGAAGGGGGAGACCAAAUGGAAGGGAUUCUCAAAGAAUUGGAGUUCCAAUGCCAAUGAUGCCUCCUCCAUUUGGUCCUCUCGGCCUGCCACCAGGACCAAUGCAGCAUAUGGGACCAAAUAUUCCCCAUUCCCCAGGUCCUCCUCUUCUACCUGGUGUCUUCAUGCCGCCAUUUCCAGGACCUCUUGUGUGGCCUGGAGCACGAGGUGUUGAUGUGAAUAUGCUUUCUGUUCCUCCCAACCUUCCCAUUCCUCCUCCAGUUGCUGCUGAACAUAGGUUUACACCAAAUGUGGGAGCUGGUUCUGGUCAUAAUAUUCACUUGAAUCAAAUGGACACUGGAUUAGGUGCUCCAACAGAUGUAUCAGGAUUGGGUUUCAAUCAUAUGGGCCCACAAAGCCGUGACAUGCUCCAUGAUAAACCAGGAUGGACACCACAUAGGAACGGUGGACCAAACAGAAAAGCUCCUUCAAGGGGCGAGCAAAAUGAUUACUCACAGAACUUUGUGGACACUGGCAUGCGGCCUCAGAAUUUUAUUAGAGAACUGGAUCUUACAAGCGUAGCGGAGGACUAUCCAAAGUUGAGAGAACUCAUACAAAGGAAAGAUGAAAUUGUUGCUAACUCAGCUUCACCGCCAAUGUAUUACAAGUGUGACCUGCGUGAACAUGUUCUUUCUCCAGAAUUUUUUGGUACCAAAUUCGAUGUUAUUCUUGUGGAUCCUCCAUGGGAGGAGUAUGCACAUCGUGCGCCAGGAAUCACAGAUCACAUAGAAUAUUGGAAUGCUGAGGAGAUUAUGAAUUUGAAGAUUGAGGUUAUUCCUGUUUCUUUCUUUCAACCUUUCUCUUUUUGGAGUUCAUUUAUGCUGCAGAAAUAACAUGUCAAAGUGUAUUUUUGGAUCAACAGGCUAUUGCAGAUACACCCUCGUUUGUGUUCCUUUGGGUUGGUGAUGGUGUAGGCCUUGAGCAAGGUCGUCAAUGUCUAAAGAAGGUACCAUAGCCUGCUAGUUUUGUACUUCAACUAGCUGGUUGACCGUGUGUUGCAUCAUAUUUCCAUGAAAAAGUAGUUAGAGUUAUAGGCUCUAACUAUUCGAUUACAUAUAAAAUUAACUAAUUAAGCCACAAAGGAACCACAUAGGUAUAAAGGGGAAGGCCCUCUAUGCAUUAUCUAACACAUACAUAGGUAUACCGUAUACACAAAUCAUUGCACUGAAGAUCCUUAUGUAGAACCAACCACAACCAUCACUAACUGUACUUUUUAUAGAAGUAAAGAUACUUGCACAAUUAUUCUUUGUGUAAUGACAUCCAUUUUGGGGCGGGAUCUUGAAAUCAGUUUACAGUAGGGUGACCUGGCUGCUCUGCUAAACUUUAGCCAUGAUGUGCUACAAUCAUGCAUUUUGCCCUCUUAGGGAAGGCAUAGCAAUAUAAACAAUGUCUAUUGCUUUCAUUUCAUCUAGAUAUGUCUUCAAACUUGCAGCUAUUGAUGAAAUGCUGCAAUAACUAAUAAGAUGAGCCUGAAAGACUUUUCUAUUUUCAGUGGGGAUUCCGUAGGUGUGAGGAUGUUUGCUGGGUGAAAACCAACAAGAAAAACGCAACUCCAAGUCUGCGGCAUGACUCUCAUACAUUGUUGCAGCAUUCAAAGGUAGUGUCGCUAGUAUGAUAUACUAAUGUAUAGUUGUGCUGCCAUGUUUAUAUUCUCUUCUCCCUGUAUGUCUCUGGCUAUCUUAUGAAGUAUCUACUCUUUCCAUGUGCAGGAGCAUUGCUUGAUGGGCAUAAAAGGAACAGUGCGUCGUAGCACGGAUGGUCAUGUCAUCCAUGCAAAUAUUGACACAGAUAUAAUUAUAGCUGAAGAACCAACUGAUGGUAUUAUUUCUUAGGUUUUAUAAUCUCUAUUCCUAUCUUUUGUAUAUGCUUGAUAUAUACUAUUUGCCUUAGACCAAGGGCUAUCAUUUUCAAUGAUUGGGUGAAUAAACUCAGUAGACUUAUUUUCUCCAAAAUUUUCCUUUCUUUUUUCAUCCUGUUUAAAAUGGAGUUUUCUGUUUUUGUUGCUGCUAUGGUAUGAAUAUUCCGGUUUAGUCCACCAAAAUGCAGUACUGUUUUCUAAAUUUGGCUUGGUUGUCAAAAACAUAUUUGUCUUUUUUUUUAGGAAUUUGGGUUUUACAAAUUAUCUGAAGCAAAUUGUUCACUUUGUUGAUACCAUUUCCUCUGACAUGCCUAGUUGUUCAUAGUAUGCUUGAUGUCUUUUGAUCUACAGUAAUCAUAAUUGUGAUUUCAAAAAAUGAAACUAGAUCAUAUAUUAUUGACUAUCCUCAACACCUGUAGAAAGUAUAACACUAUAACAGUAGGUCUGCUUCUCUUGUUGCAAUAAAAUCAAAUGCUAGAUUGUGAAUUAUUCUUUUCAUUCUUAGAUGGUUGCUCUUGAUGUGCUUUCUCUGUAGGUUCAACAAAAAAGCCCGAGGACAUGUAUAGGAUCAUUGAGCAUUUUGCUCUUGGAAGGCGUCGACUUGAACUCUUUGGUGAGGAUCAUAAUAUCCGUCCAGGCUGGCUUACUCUUGGGAAAAAUCUAUCUUACUCCAACUUCAACAAAGAGGUUGGUAGCUUGACAUACAACAUCAUGUGUAUACACACACGCAUGCCCUUCUAUGCCACGAUUUCUGCAGAUCUUCUUUUUACAUCGUUUCUGUUAUGAUUUCUCUCACACAGGCAUAUAUUAAGAAUUUUGCGGACAAGGAUGGGAAAGUAUGGCAAGGAGGCGGCGGUCGAAACCCUCCACCGGAGGCUCCUCACCUUGUUGUGACAACUCCAGAGAUCGAAAGCCUCAGGCCCAAGUCACCACCGGCAAAGAACUAAUAGCUGCGGUCAAUUUUACAAUGCUGGCUGCAUUUUUGAAACUGUAGCUUUAACUUUGUUGAAGGUCCAGCUCUGGCCUUGUUGCUGGGAGGAUGCAGCCAGUAUAUUUGUUCUUGCUGCAUGCCAAGGCCCUCAGAAUCGUAAGAUUGAUGCUAAAUCCGGAUGCUUCUAUUGUCUUGUAUUUUCUUUUUGUCAAAUCGUGCAAGAAACAGAAACUGUCUAUACCAUACCAGUCUUGCAAAUCGUUUCUGGAACCCUGCCUACCUGAUUGAUAAGAUGUUGGAACCAUGGAUAACUAUCCAUGGUUUUUUUAUACGUUAUAGUAUAUUUGGAAGGACUUCUCUCGAGACAUGCACAUGUGCACUCUCAGACAGGCACCGAUUUGACAAACCUGGAUGAUGACGAGAGUUUUCAGACUAAACAACUUAGCAAGGCGCUACCCUCUAAUUGACUAGCUUUACGUUACAGCACAUGGGCAACGACAGCACUAGCUGCCUUGUCCUUUUUAUCGGCCGCAACGAAGUGAAUUCCAACCGGGUGACGCACGAGCCGUGCGACUCGUUUUCGAAGCCAAAUCGGAUCGUCCCGUCUCGCCGCCGAAUGAAUGAUUGCGCGCAUCGGCGAGCUUCGCUAGAAGAACAGGCAUCAGGGACACGAUAUUUCGUCUGAUCUGUAGCCGAAACUUUUUGGAAAAAAAAAGGUUUACGCGUUGUCCCUGCCGAUGGAAUCUUGCAGGGGAUGGAGAUUUCGCCGCGUGAUUCGGGGGGCCACGACGCGCGCUCCCAUUGCGGGCCUCCAUCCACGCGAUCAGCUCCGUUUUGGCCUGGUCCCAUGCUAAAUGAUUCGCCCAGUCUUCCAGGUGAUCAGGUGAACUGAAGCCACUGCUGCUGCUUGUUUGGAGUACGGCGCAUUGCGUUUGAUGAGCUUAUCGACUUCAAUGUAUUUGUCUGGAAUUAUAGUUUGUAUUUUUAAAAAAAAAAGAAAAAGGAGAAAAUAAACGUAGGUAUGGUCUGGGUCAAUCAUUCCCUGUGCGAACAGCAACAGCGUCUCUCCUCUCUCAUGUCGCUGUUGUGACCUGUACUCCUGUUCCUGUCAGCCCUUUGCUUAGGAUCUUAGCAACGUUUCCACUUGGCCGGGAUAUCCUUUCCGAGACAAAUCCUACAUUAAUGGCUACAGCGAGGGAUCAAGCGUAGAAAUCUGGCCAUCCAUCCAUCCGCCACAAGGAUCCCAAUCCAUGACCAUCUCUUUGCUCCGCAACACACUACUCUCAAGUCCAUACUUGCAUAUAUACAAGCAUUUCAGCUCCACGUAACACACACGGCUACAAGCGUCAACCACGUCGUUUUCCUGCCUUUUAGUUUUUCACCGUGUCUAUCCUCUCGCUCCCUCGUCUGCAUCACUACGCUGCCAGCCAUCAGGGAAAACCACGGCGGCACAUUUACUCGGGCAUUGACCUCAGCCUGCAGGGUGAAAAAACUGAAAAUGACGGCCGUGCUGGGUUACCCUCUGCAGGAUCUGAACGCUGGAUCCCCCUGCUCAAGGAAAAGGCGCUGCAGGGCCCCCGUCUGCACGCUGUAGCCUGAAACAAACCUCAGCGAAACGUGCGAGAGACCCAUCAUCGCCGUUCAGACGGGCAUGCGAAUUAUUUCGCGAGGUGAUGGAUGGAUGGACGGAUGGAUGGCGCGCUGCACCUUCCAGUCUCCAGAGCCAGGGCUUCCCAAAUUUGUCAGGGAAUCGUACCAACAGCGCGUCGGGUGCGAAAGAACCUGCUGCUGCUCCACGAGAUUUCAGUGUCAGGUGCAUGGUCAGUGAUGGACUGAUGGAUGGACGCACAGUGAACUGGGUUCCUGAAGGACUGUAUGCCUGCCUGGCCGAAAACAGCUCGCGUCGCGUCGUCCUCCUUGGAGGAAAAAAAAACGGUGCGCCUGACGGCGGUAGCCGUAGUAGUAGGUGGUAGUGAAUGUGUCGUCGAUGGAUGGAAAUGUACACAUGGUCUUGACAUUUACGGCCACAUCUUGCAAAAAAUAUCCUCUCAACACUAAGGUUGGGAUCACCAAACAGCAAUCUGAACCAUGAACUGUGGGAGCGCAUCUAUCUUGCUGCAUGGGGUCUCGUUUAGAUGCAGCCCAAAUUGCAAAUGUUGUAAACUGGAGUACUGUAGCGAUUUCGUUUGUAUUUGACAAAUUUUAUCUAAUCAUGGACUAACUAUGCUAAAAAGCUUCGUCUCGUGAUAUACAAUUAAACUGUGCAAUUAGUUAUUUUUUUACAUACAUUUACUGCUCCAUGCAUGUGUCCCAAAAUUGAUAUGAUGGAGAGAGAGUAUAAAAAGUUGGAAUUUGGAGGGGAACUAAACAGGGCCCUAGCUAGCCAACUCAUUUCGCGUACCACAUUAACUGAAACUAGGCCGGCACAAAUUUCUAAAGAGAUUUGAUGUGCAGUGUAGGUCAGGUACACGUACGGUCUCCAUAUGAGUAUGAUCAGACUAACUCACACUCUCUCAUGAUCUCAAAUCGGGUAACGCUAAAUCAUGGAACUUUUGGAGGAUACGAUAUGCAUUGUUGUCCCCGUAUGUUUUUGUCAAGAACGUAACCCUAAUGAUGAAAAGCGUACUACCACUCACUUGAGAACAAAUUAAGGAAUAAUGAAGACCAUCGACCGGCUGCUUUUGUCAACGCGUGCUGCUGCACCUUGACCCGAUCAGUAUAGUAGUCUAGAGAUGUGCUAGCUAGCUUCAAGUACGUACGGCAGCAAGUCAACAAGUGAGGCCAUCACAGAGACAAUAACAAUGAUGAACUGACCGCUUGAUUUGUACGUACGUACGUACAUCACCCAGGUGACACGCAUACCACGAGCCCAAAAAACCGUAUUACGUCGUAUGCAGCAGCCAGCAACAAUGUCCAACGAGAUCUCAACAUCUGCUGGGAAAUGCCUGGCCUCUACUCACCCGAUCAUGGUCCAAAGUCCAAGCCGUCGUAGCCUUCAACCGACCUACUACUAGCUAGCUAGCAGCCGCAGGGAGAUGAUAAAGCAGCGACGAUUUGAAUGGCUUCAGCGCGCGACUUGUACGUGCGUGAAGCCAAGACACAGCUAGCCGAGAGAGGAGAGAGAGCCCACAGUGUGAAGCGUUGGGAGAGCGAACCAGAGCUUACGCGUUGAUGGAUGAUGGUGUGAAUGGAUUUGGGAAGAUUUUGCAGGGAUCCAUCGGAGGUGCCGUCGAAAUCGAGCGGAGGACCUACCCAUGGUUUCGUGGCGUGCAAUGGUCUCGGCAAUGCGGGGCGACUUGUGAACGCAUUGAAUGCGCGGCCGGGCAGCAUCUACUCUGUAGCUUAACGACGUGCGCAGUAGCUGCAACGUAACUCUGACAAUCGGCGUACGCGACUCCGGUUGACCCUCCGGGGGCCAUCCCAACCCUCUUAGCGUCACAUAAAAAUAUUUAACUUAUGUGGUACCAUAAUAAAUAAGAAAAAAUGGAGAGACAAACGUCCAUCGCAGAAAACGAGCGUGAACAGGAGUACAAGAGCUGGCAACGUACGUCAUCUGGUGUGAUAAAUCAUAGCAACAACGACAGCUACUCUAUUCAAAUUUACAAUGCUUAAUUCGUUUCACUCUUUGAUCAAUAAUUACUCUAUCAAUAUAUGAUUUUUAUGACAUAAAGUUAAUGCUAUUAAAUUUGUAUAUUUAACGAUCAUACGUUUAUAUGAUAUAAACAAAAUAAUUAAUUAUUGGGCCAGCCUUGUUCUAUUCUAGUUAGGACCAGUAGUAAGAAAACGGGUGGAGCUAGCACCUUUUUUAAGAAGUCACAGGAGCAGUUAAAACCGGUGGAAAAAUUGCAGUACACGACGAGAGGCCGAGGUAGACGCGGACCGCGCACGAAAUCAUCAUGCAGCUCCUCCUUUUUCAGUGCGGAGGUGACAUCCAAAUACGCAUUGAAUCUCGUGGGGGUGCGCAUCCAUAAAUGCCUUCCCACCUGGACAAGCACACGACCUCGAUCCUCCGGUCGCCCUUGUUGGAUAUGGAUCCUACCCGUCUGUAGAUUUUGGUCAGGGACACUUUUGUCUUGGAGCUAGAGGCAGCAGUGGUCGAGAUGGCAACCAUCUCCAUGAUCGCCUCGCUAGAACUCGAGCGAGGGCAGCUAGCGCACAUGCCGGUGCAGUGAACGCACGUUGUUUGAGAGACAUGAUUUUUUUUAUUUUAUUUUUUUGAACAGAAGCCGACAGAUAGAGGCAGGAAUUGAAACCCGGGAGAGUGUUGACGGAUUCACAUUCAGAUGAUGAGCUUUUCAAGGUUCCGGCAUGAAGGAAUGGAUUGGGCGGAGGAAGAAGGGUGCCGCCGAUCAACUGAGGCGAUUGACAUGUGCACGGAGCAACUCUGCUCGAGCUCUUGACGACGAGUACAUGUCAAUCUGCAGUGGCAUCUCUACACAAUACACUGCGAUGUUCAACAGCAAAGUCCUUAUUUCUUAGCGUAGGUGCGAUCUUAUUGAGCUACUGCCCGGCCUAUCAGUGUCUGCAACUCUGUAAUUCUUCUUACCGGCUAUAUAAUGUUCAGGAAAAGGUACAGCCUACAGGGUAAUGCAUCGGACCAUUGAACAUUGACCGUCUCGUUCCAAUUGAGCACCUGCCGGCGCCGCAGCUCGUCGGAAGUGGGGUCCUAGGAGGCGGCGAGGGCGGAGGCGGUGUCCUGGCCUGGGGGCACGUCGAUCCCCGGCAGAAGCCGCACGUGGGAAUGAACCAGGGGCUAUGCGGCCGGUGUGGGUGAGGUUGGCGAGGAGCCCCAGCAUGGGGGCGACCCGGUGGCGGAAGCCGCGGUCGGCGAAGUGGCGCGCCCAGAGCUUGCACGCGAGCGCCGCGCGGAGGCGGCGCGCGUUGCCGUCCGGCGGGACGCGGAGCAAGAAGAUGAUGUCCUCGGCGAUGUCCUCUCGUCCGGAUCUGACAGGUGGGGCCAUAGGAGCUGUGGGUGUGACGAUCCGCUUUGACUCGGUAUUGGGAGAUCCUGGGCCCGCGAAUGGGAUCCGACGGCCCAGGUGGCCUAGAGCCGGGACGGUAAAUGAAAUACCGUCCGGGGUGGACGGUGUUUCAUUUACCGUCCACCCCGGGUGUCCAGCGCGCGCUCCCCGCUCGCUGCCGCCACCGCGCCCGGCGUCGCCGGAGGUCACAGCGUUGUGUACAUGCGCGGUGCUUCCGCCGGAGGCCGUCGUCCACGUUUCCUCGACGGCGCCGCGCCGUGCCCGAGUACCUCCUUCCGUUGCCGGCUCCUUGGGCACCUACUCGCCGCGGAAUGGCAGGCGCACGCGCGGCGCCGUCCCGUGGCGCGCGCGUGCCGCCGCCGCCGACGCCUCAUCGCCGUGGGCCUCCAUCAUGUUCUCCUCCGAGAUAACAGCAGCCGCCGCUUCGACGAACUCGCCGAGCCAACGGUGCCGGCGCGCCUCCGCGGCCUCCGCCAUGUGUUGCCAUUGUUAGAUAGGAAGGUUUGAUGUAUAUUUGCCUUAACGUAUCUUGCCAAAGCCAAGAGAUUUAGUUCAUCUAUGUAUAGGAAUAGACUAUCUAUGUAUAGGAAGGUUAUAUUUGGAUAGUCUCUUGGCUUAGCUUCCAAAGCUUUCACGCCUAUAUGUAAGUGCUGCAUGCAGGGCUGUUCUGCAUCAAUCAACACGCAGCUCACAAGCGACCCAAGAUAGGGCGUCGUGCUUCCGCUCCUCUGAUCUUUCUACAUGGUAAUCAGAGCCUUAGUCCGUGAAUAGAUUGCAUCGCUCUUGAGCAACUAUCAUGGCGAGUUCAUCAUCUAGUUCCUCCAAUCCUCUCCUCGCCCAACCCGUCACAGAGAAACUCGGCAAGAAUAAUCACGCAUUGUGGAAAGCACAAGUGCGUGCGGCGAUCCGAGGCGCACGUCUUCUGGGCUAUCUCACUGGUGACGCCAAGAUGCCGCCGGCCGAAGUCGUCCAGAAGGGCGCCGAUGGGAAGGAGGUGAAGGUCACCAAUCCAGAGCGUGAGGACUGGGAGGCUACGGACCAGCAAGUCCUUAGCUAUCUCCUGGCGUCGGUCACCAAGGAUGUCCUCACGCAGGUGGCCACCUGUGCCACUGCCGCCGACGCCUGGAAGAUCAUCGAAGACAUGUUUGCGUCACAGACGCGAGCAAGAUCCGUCAACAUGCGGAUUGCCCUGGCAACGACCAAGAAGGAGAACUCCACCGUUGCUGAAUACUUCGCCAAGAUGAAGGCUCUUGGCGACGACAUGGCGGCUGCAGGACGGCCCCUAGAAGAUGAAGAAUUGGUGGAGUACAUCAUCACCGGGCUCGGCGAAGAAUUCUCACCGAUCGUCUCCGCUCUAUGCGCUCGAGUGGAACCCAUCUCAGUUGGUGAACUCUAUUCUCAACUCCUCAAUUUUGAGACUAGAAUGGACUUGAUCUAUGGAGGAGGCAGCUCUGGCUCGGGGUCGGCAAAUUCCGCCACCCGGGGUCGUGGAUCGUGGCGCGGCAAGACUCAGUCACACGGGAGAGGCUCCACUCGUGGCGGUGCAUCUUCUGGUCGCGGUUUCCAGCAUUCUGGUCGCAGGAACUCAGGAGGACGCGGCUCCUACAACAACAACAACUCCAACUCUCGUGGCUUCUACAACAACAGCCGCGGGAUGUCAGGCGCUCCAACCGACUCUGAUGCGAACAGAUGUCAGGUAUGCUUCAAGAAAAACCACUCGGCUGCAGAGUGUUGGCACAGGUUCGAUGAAAACUUCAUGCCAGAUCAGCGCCUUGUUGCAGCAGCAACAUCCUCGUACGGUGUGGACACCAACUGGUACACUGAUACCGGUGCCACAGAUCAUGUGACGGGACAUCUCGAGCAGUUGUCCAUGAAGAAAAAGUAUCAAGGGAAUGAUCAGAUUCACACGGCGAGUGGAACAGGUAUGGACAAUAGUCAUAUUGGUCAUACUACAGUUCAUACCCCUAUUCGUGAUCUGCAUUUAAAUAAUGUUCUAUGUGUUCCACAUGCCAAGAAAAAUCUUGUUUCUGUUCAUCGCCUUGCUGCUGACAACUCUGCUUUUCUAGAAUUUCACCCUGAUUUCUUUCUUAUUAAGGAUCAGGAAACGAAGAACAUACUCCUUAGAGGAAGAUGCCACAGAGGCCUCUAUCCCUUGCCAGCACCAUCAAUAAAGCAAGUCUACAGUACCACUAGAUUGCCUCUAUCUCAGUGGCACAGUCGACUGGGUCAUCCUUCAUCCUUUAUUGUUAAGCAAGUUGUCAGUAGCAAUAAUCUUCCCUAUCGUGAUGAGUCAUUGAGUCAGUCAGUUUGUGAUGCCUGUCAACAAGGGAAGAGCCAUCAGUUGCCCUAUCCCAAGUCGUCUAGUAUUUCUAAAUUUCCUUUAGAACUUGUGUUCUCUGAUGUCUGGGGUUAUGCUCUUGAAUCAGUUGGUCGAAAAAAAUAUUAUGUGAGUUUUAUUGAUGAUUUUAGCAAGUUCACAUGGAUUUAUUUCUUAAAGCACAAAUCUGAAGUGUUCCAAAAAUUCCAGGAAUUUCAGCUCCUUGUAGAACGCUUGUUUGACAGAAAAAUCCUUGCUAUGCAAACUGACUGGGGAGGUGAAUAUCAAACUCUAAAUUCCUUUUUCCAUAAGACAGGCAUAGUUCAUCUUGUUUCCUGUCCACACACCCAUCAACAGAAUGGGUCUGCUGAGAGAAAACACCGUCACAUAGUUGAAGUCGGGCUCUCCUUGUUAUCCCAUGCGAGUAUGCCACUCAAAUUCUGGGAUGAAGCUUUUCAAACAGCUGUUUAUCUUAUCAAUCGUGUGCCUAGUAAAACGAUUGGUUUCACUACGCCCCUAGAGCGUUUAUUCCAUCAAAAACCCGACUACUCUUCAAUGAGAAUUUUUGGGUGUGCAUGUUGGCCUCAUCUUCGCCCAUAUAAUACACACAAACUCCAGUUUCGAUCCAAGCGAUGUGUUUUUCUUGGUUACAGUACCGUGCACAAAGGCUACAAGUGUCUUGAUGUCUCCUCUGGCCGUGUUUAUAUUUCUAGAGAUGUAAUUUUUGAUGAAAAUAUUUUUCCAUUCAGUGAAUUACAUCCUAAUGCCGGUGCUAGACUUCGCUCCGAAAUUCUUUGCUAUGGUUUAGGGGGAGAACAUGUAGCAGACCAAUAUAUUAAUUGUCCAUCUAAUGUUUUCUCUGAGUUGAAUGUUGAAAACCAGGAAGAAUCAAGUGUACAGGCUGGAGUAACCGAAGCAAAUUCUGAUUGCACAAACACACAAGAAGACUUGGUUGCAGGUGCUUCAGGAUCGUUGCCAACAUCAGGAGAAUCAGGCACAGGUGCAGGCGACUCUCCUGCUGAUCGCCUCGACCACCAGCCAGCAGCCACGUCGGCAACCGUUUCUCCUCCGCCGACCGGGACAGGCGUCAGCGACCGUGGAGACGAACCAGUGAACGUCACAGCUGCAUCUGCACGGGCGGGAGAACUCUCUGCUGCUCAUGACGGUACAGAGGGAAUUUCUUCUGCUGCGGUGCCAGCUGCAUCAGUACAUCGUCCUGCUACCAGAUCACAGAGUGGUAUACGCAAAGAUAAGAUUUAUACUGAUGGUACUGUCAGGUAUGGUUUCCUAACAACUACAGGAGAACCUAGUACCACUGAUGAGGCUUUAGCUGAUAAUAAUUGGAAAGAAGCAAUGGAUCUUGAGUAUAAUGCUCUUAUGAAAAAUAAAACUUGGCACCUUGUUCCACCACAGAGAGGUAGGAAUGUCAUUGGUUGUAAAUGGGUUUACAAAAUUAAAAGAAAAUCUGAUGGAAGCUUGGAUAGAUAUAAAGCUCGUCUUGUGGCUAAAGGUUUUAAACAGAGAUAUGGGAUAGACUAUGAAGAUACUUUCAGUCCUGUUGUUAAAGCUGCCACUAUUCGUAUUAUUUUGUCUCUUGCUGUGUCUCGGGGCUGGACUCUAAGGCAGCUUGAUGUUCAGAAUGCUUUCCUUCAUGGUGUUCUUGAAGAAGAGGUAUAUAUGCAACAACCACCUGGUUUUGAAGAUCCCUCGAAACCAAAUUUUGUUUGUCGGCUAGAUAAAGCUUUAUAUGGUCUAAAGCAGGCUCCUAGAGCAUGGUAUUCUAGACUCAGUACCAAAUUAUUAGCACUCGGUUUUCAAUCCUCCAAGGCAGAUACUUCACUAUUCUUUUAUAAUAAACAUGGUGUUAGUAUCUAUAUUCUUGUUUAUGUGGAUGACAUUAUUGUUGCGAGCUCUACGUCUCAGGCUACCACAGCAUUGUUGCAAGAUCUGCAAGGGGAGUUUGCUCUAAAGGAUUUGGGAGACCUUCAUUAUUUUCUUGGGAUUGAAGUCACCAAGGUACAAGAUGGAAUUGCUCUGACUCAAAGCAAAUAUGCUUCUGAUCUUCUUAAAAGAGUAGGUAUGGUGGAUUGUAAGCCAGUUGCUACUCCAUUAUCUACUAGUGAAAAAUUAUCACUACAUGAAGGAUCAUUAUUGGGACCAGAUGAUGCAUCACGGUAUCGAAGUAUUGUUGGGGCACUUCAGUAUCUUACGCUUACUAGACCUGACAUUACUUUCUCUGUUAAUAAAGUUUGUCAGUUUCUUCAUGCACCAACCACAGUUCAUUGGGCAGCAGUGAAAAGAAUUUUGCGAUACUUGAAACAAUGCACAGAAUUGGGAUUAAAAAUACAAAAGUCUUCUUCGACCUUGGUAAGUGCUUUUUCGGAUGCAGAUUGGGCUGGUAAUAUUGAUGAUAGAAGAUCUACAGGAGGAUUCGCUGUGUUCAUAGGCUCAAAUCUUGUAUCCUGGAGUGCAAGGAAACAAGCUACUGUUUCAAGGUCUAGUACUGAAUCAGAAUACAAGGCAAUUGCCAAUGCUACAGCAGAAAUUAUGUGGGUUCAAACUCUACUUCGUGAACUGGGAAUUCCUAGUCCAAGAGCAGCGAGACUUUGGUGUGAUAAUAUUGGUGCAAAGUACCUGUCUGCUAAUCCUGUCUUUCAUGCUAGGACAAAGCAUAUUGAAGUUGAUUAUCAUUUUGUCAGAGAAAGAGUUGCACAGAAAUUAUUGGAAAUUGAAUUUGUAUCAUCUGGUGAUCAAAUAGCGGAUGGCUUUACAAAGGCCUUGUCUGUUCGGCUAUUGGAAAACUUCAAAUCCAAUCUACACCUAGAACGGUUGAGAUUGAGGGAGGCUGUUAGAUAGGAAGGUUUGAUGUAUAUUUGCCUUAACGUAUCUUGCCAAAGCCAAGAGAUUUAGUUCAUCUAUGUAUAGGAAUAGACUAUCUAUGUAUAGGAAGGUUAUAUUUGGAUAGUCUCUUGGCUUAGCUUCCAAAGCUUUCACGCCUAUAUGUAAGUGCUGCAUGCAGGGCUGUUCUGCAUCAAUCAACACGCAGCUCACAAGCGACCCAAGAUAGGGCGUCGUGCUUCCGCUCCUCUGAUCUUUCUACAGCCAUGUCCCUGUCCGGCGCCGCCAAGGCCAAGCUCCUCACUCUUCUCGAGCUUAACUGGCACGGCCGGUGCGGCUGUCUAUAUGCAAUGCAUCUCUACAUAAUAACAAUACAUGGAGGAUACGUGAAUCAACACGUGAAGGGUUGCUUUCCAAGUCCUGGAGGAUCCAUCUUUAGUGCCCUCGCUAAGUGUAUCAGACUAAUUCAGAAAAUAUACGCUCUACGGAUGGUGCCCAUAGCAAACAUUAAGCAAGGUACUUACAUUGAGGUCGUCAAUGGCUACUAAUUAAAGUUAUAUGAAUAAUAGCAAGCAAAGCUUCCUACAUUUACAACACCCAGUCAAUCACUCGUUACAUCAUAGAGAGCAACCACAAGAGCCAUCCAGAUGACCAAUUUCAGCUCGUUUGACAAAUUAAGAUUCUUGCACAGGAUAAGACCAGAGAAAGGAAGCUUAACCUACCAACUUCUUCGUACUGAAUGCUACCGGUAUCAUUCAAGCAAGACUGAAGCUUCCUUGCUUUGUGAUCCUUCUCCUUUUUUAGGAAGGCUCUGUUGCCCCCUCUGUUGCUUUCUGCCGCAGUUGCAGAAAUGACGUGGCGCUUAAUGUGCUAAUGAGCAACGAACAGUAGAGAUUGUUAAUUAGUACUGGUAGAUGAUCACAAUCUCAUCAGCUCGCUUCGUCUUCUUCCCUGCCUUUGUUCGCACGCCAGUGGCCAGCAAUGGGGUCUUGCGAGUCGAUCAAGAUGGCCGUCGUACUUGGAAUCUACCAUACACGCAUCCAUUCAUCCCGGCCGGCUUGCAUUGGUUGCUAAGCUAUGCGUGCGUCAACUGAUCAAAAUUCAGCAAAUAGUUAAUGUCGGGGCAUGAUUAGCAACAAUCAUAAAGACAUUUUGCUGCACUAAUAGCAGUAGCCCUCUCGCUCCCCCCUGUCCGUCAGAUAUCGAAUCCGAACGUCUGGUUCAGCUGAGUAUCUGACAGUGUCAUCAUGCUUGCUUUACGGGGAAAAAGCGCAGCAGAGGUUUAGUCUCGAUGUAAACCCCAUUUAUGGAUGGAAAAGAUCCAUCCAACAGUUCAUGUUCAUCCAUGGAUGCCGCAGUGCAGGCAUGGAUCAUUGAUCUUGGUCGUCGCAUUAAGAUCGCGAUCUUCCCCGGCUGGCCCUGCUCAUCGAUCAGCUCAUCAUCUUGCAGUUGAAUGAACAGUCCCCCAGCCCCACCAAAUAAAGCAAUGCCGGGGGGCUUGCUACAUCCAUCGCGAUUAGUUAGGUAAACCAUGCGUUGUUAGACCUUAAUGAGCCCGCCAGACUUUUUUUACCCGCACCACGUACCCGCCGGGCGCGCAACGCACGCAUACGACCGGCCGACGGCGACGUGGAUUGGGCGGAGGGCGGACGGCGACAAGCCAACCGUCCUGGCUCGUCGUCCGCGGCGAAAGGGAUCGGAUUCAUACGAGCUAGCAAAGCUCUGCGCCUGUGCCUCGCUAGGUCUCGCCACCACCUUCCGCUGCCUGCUGCUGCUGCGAGCGCUAGAUGCGAAGCUGCGCCGUCGCUGUCGGCGUUAACAGGGCCGUGGACCGGUGGCGUCCGUACCAGGAUCGCGUCUCGGCGGGGGAUCGAAUUGAGCGAGCUGCUGGCAUUAGGAAGGAAAAAAAAAAGGCAGCGGCGAGCCCUCCAUGGCCGCACACGUCGCCCCGGCCCCGCUCGCCGGCCGCUUAUUUAAGCCGGCCUCCCCGCCGCCCGGCGUCGUCUGCCUCACUUGACCAAACCACCAGCAGCAAGGCAUCCACCGGCCUACCAGAGAUAGACGUGUAUAAAUAAGGCCGCCUCGUACGAAGCCGGUAGCCGCGCGCGCACGACAGAUCGAGCACCGUCGCCGCGCGCUCGCCAGCACGAAAGCUUGGUGCCGUGUCGUGUUGGGGGCGGCGGCCCGGCCGGCGGCCAUCUUUGGAUUGAUCAGUCGGCGGCGGCGCGGCGGGAGGAUAGCAGUGAGGAGCUGGCCGUGCGAGCCGCGCGCCUGGCUGCUACACGCCGUCGGGGCAUUGUGUAAGUUCCUUUCUGAACUCCCUUUGCUGCUGGUUCUUGUUUUGCUUCCGAUCCAGUCCAGGCAUGCGUACGCGCGUGCAGACAUGAACGGUGAGACAGAUGCGUGCUCUUGAGAACACGUGGACUUGCCGCCCAGCUAGGUGUGCAAUGCAUUGUAUUGUAUCUUGAUCGACAUGGAUAUUUUCAUCACGUACAUAUACAUAAUACACGCAUGUUUUUUUUUCGAAACACAUAUGGCCGUAUGUAGUGCUUUAUUUUUAGAAGAAAAAAACCUUUUUAAAAAAGAAACUUUGUAUCUAUCUUCAGUUCUUGAUCGUCAGAAUAGAUGAUCUCUCAGUCUAGCUCAACAACUAAUGAACCGGUAUUAAUUGGAGUCUUGGAGAGUAGUGGCAGCUAGCUGGAUUACCAUGGCUGAAGCUGAAACGCACAUGUAUACGCGCUUGCUUUGUGCUCGAUCGGUGCGCGUAGUACCAUAAAAAAAAGCCAGAUCGCACUAGCGUAUAGUAGUAGCACAGAUACUGGUAGUUUCUGCGCGAAAAGCCGUGGAGAGGCAUGGGGAGGAGUGAGUACUGGAGCAGGCACUACGCUAGCUACCAACAGCUUGGGGGUAGCUGCUGCUCGGUCGGACGGGAUCACGGGCUGGACUUGGAAGCGUGACUACUUCAACCUCCCUGGAGGCUCUCUCCUCUGGGGCAACAUGGCCCACCGUAGGUUCUGCAAUAGCCGUCUACUGUCUUUUUUUUUAUAAGAACCGUCUACUGUCUUUGUCUGUACUAGUCUGAUAUGCUUGGCAACCAAAACGUUUAGUUUUUGAGAUAAAGGAAGCAUUAUUUCGAGAUGAUAUUGUUCCGGCCUCUGACAACAUCAUCAGUGACCCGGCAAUCCAAAUUGGGCAGGAUUUCGCUAACACUAGCGCUAAUCACCCGUUGGCAUCUAACAGGUUAUUAGCUCCAAGAUUUUUCUGCAAAAAGGAAAAACAGCAUCAACCACAGGUAUAUAAUGUAACAGUACAUAAACAUUUACUGGCCAAGAACCCAUCAGUCAGCAGCCAGGCGCCAUCAGACGCCAUUGUUUACGUUUUUUUGUCAGCACGAGACACUGGCGGUAGGUAAGUAGGCUUAGUUCCUUUUAAGGAGAAAAAGAAGGCAUCGAUGAUGUGUGUGUCCUGGCCGGAGCAACCCUGACAGGCAGAUCGAACAACGAAGCUUAUCCCUGAAACAAGUUGACAAACAAUCCCUUUUCUCGCGGUGUUCCUUGCUGCUGCUGCUGCUGCUGCUGCAAGUCUGCAACGAUCAACCUUUAUAGCUCCCAAAGCGACGGCCAGGAAAAAACCUGACACGAUCUUAUCCCCCAACGCGCCUAGUUUGUCAACUCAAAACUCCAUUGGUGGGUGUAAAAGAUCCAUCCCUCUUUCCCCAUGUGACUGAUUGCACGGACGCGGGCCUCAGUUGGGCCAAAAGCCCGGCGCAACUUGCAGUACUUGUAGGUGAAUUGUCCCGGUCUGAUGUCGUUACGGCACUGACGAAACACACCACAUGACUCAUCUAGUUGUCUCUCUGCCUCUGAUCUGCUAAGGAUCAAACCACACCAGAUGAUGCAGGCGAUUAAAUUCGAUGUCGCCAUCUACCUAAUACGAGAUCGAUCGAGCCCCGAAUCGUCUCUGAUUAGGAAGUCGCUGUUGGUGUUUACUGUUCUAGCUUUACUGACAUGAAUGGAGCUAGUGAUAUUAUUGGAGAAAAUCACAGGACACCAUCGUAGACUGCAGAGACUAGCAUAGCUGGUCAUCGGCGUUGCUGACAUGCAAGUUCAUAGACUUGCAUUGGUUGCUACUUGCCAAUGCUUUCUCUUCGAUUUCAGAAAAGAAGAAAUGCUUUCUCUCUUCAUGGGUCUACCACUUCCAUCAUGUUCCAACAGUCUAGUGUUCCACUAGGCUUCGUGCUCUGGCUUUUGUUUAGACGGGAUAAGUCUUGUCCUCAAGUUAAAUUAUAUGUACUGAGUGCUAUAUAUUACUCAAUUAUUGGUCGGUACGGUCAGUAGAACCUUUUUUGAGUUCGUCAGAUCUGUGGCUGUCCACAAGUUUCUUGACACCUGGCUCAGCUCUCUUCCACUAUCGAGGCUGCAAAUCUUCUAUUUCAAAAAAAAAAAAGAGGAGAGAAGGCACCAUCUGAGGGAGCACUGUUACUAGUGUAGACUGUACUGGGUCUAACGGGCCUUUUUAAGACCUCAUCACAGAUGAUGCCACUAACGUCAACCCAUCCCUGUCGGUGAGUGCAACCGAUGCUGUUGAGCUAGACUAGAAAUAAAGCUUCGUUUCAAGUGCUGGAAUUUUCCCGGAUUCCUGUAGGAGUGGAUCAUAUUUUCCUUCUUCCUCUCCAAGCAUAUGUCCUUAUAGCUAGACCUAUAUACGGUUCCUUAUGUAUUGUAGCUCCUACCAAAAUCCAAAAUGAUCCUUAUCAACAUCGACAACAAUCCUAUUCCCUCCAUUCUAAAUUAUUAGUCAUUUUAGUUAUGCAUUUAGAAAUAAAUAUAUAUGUAGAUACAUAGUAAAAACUAUGUAUCUAGAAAAAUUAAAAUAACUAAUAAUUUAAUAUGGAGGGAAUAUUUAUUACACUGAAAACUUGUCUCGGAGGAGUGCUCCUGGAGCCUCUAAAUCGCCAAUACCGCUUUUGUUCUCCUAAAAAGAUUUUGCAUAAUUGCAUUUAUUCUCCGGAUAUAUACCAGACGACGUAAAGCAAUGGAGAUUGAUGUCUGCCCUCUAGUUUUGUCGCUAGAACCGGACGCGUUUCUUGGAUAUGAAGAAACAAGCAACAUCAGUCAGCUGGGCAAACUCCCACGCGCAAAACCCAAAUCAGCAACAUCAAUGUCAUGGUUCCGUCCCUAAUCGUGGCUCUCACAGGAAUGGAAUAAACGGUUCACUAGCAUGGAGAAGAAAAUGCUAGGUAUACUCCGUAGCUCCCACGGACCAACCAGUAUAAGAGUGCUAAACCGCCAACUCUUUUUUUUUGAGAAAAUGCUAAACCGCCAACUCUAGAAAAAAAAAUAACAGCUCCUUCAUCAUUGUAAAAGAAUAUAUGUAUUACUAUCGUUUUGACAUUGACAUAGUAUCCAACACGCACUUUUGACCAUUACUUUCCAUAACAUUUCCCUUGUAAAAAACCAUUAGUAAGUCUCUUCAUCCAUAAAUUGUCAUAAACCGAUCUUCAAAAAACAUUACUUAUUUUUAUUUUUUUACACUAUAUAUUUUCAAAAUUAGGAUUUGGCACUGAAAAAGCCGAAUAAUAAGGGGAAAAAAGAGAUGUACAAAAAACAUCACAUCCAUAUCACCAAAAGAUCUGCGAGAACACUAUAUUUUUUUACCAGAUUGUUUGAGAAGCUUAACCUGUUCCAACUUGCUGAAAUGAUGUCCAAAAUACAAACGUAGAAAUUCCCUAACCAUAAGAAACCUAAAAAAGGGAUAUUAUUCACUUAUUGGAUGAACUUUGAUCCACGAAUUAAAUGAAAAGGUUAUCCUAGAUAAAGUAGUGGAUUAAUGUUUCCAUAUAUACUCUAUACAGAUCCGGAAACAAACAAGCUCUCUAGCCUAAAAUAAUCACCUGUUACCCAGAAAACGGGAGCUCCAACGGUGUGCCCAUAGUAAAUUGCCAUCCUAGGAGCUCCCACUGCACGUGGGCCCCAACUUCCCUUUUUUUGAACGUGGGUCCCAACCCCCGUCACCCCCACCACAUCCCGUGAAACCGGAGGCAGUGGCCUUUCCCCCCCGCCCACAGGGCUCCCAUGGCGACGCGCCCCUAUUUAGCCGCCCCCACCCUCCAUGUCCAUGCCCACCACCGCCACUUUAUUCUCCCCUCCAAUCCGCCACCUCGUCGUCCUCCUCCUCGCGAGCUCUAGCAGCCUGGCAGCACUACUGUGGACUACCCGCCCUUUCAUCCGAUCCCUACUCGAAGGUGAGCAGCCCCGCGCCCAUGUCGAAUUCCUCUCGUCGCGAUCCGGUCGUAGCGUAGCACACAAAUACCCCUUCUUGUAACCCGUGCCUGCGCGGAUUUGUGCCGGAUCUUCUGUCGUCGGUAUGGCCGGCGCUAAAUCCUCUGCAAAACCAGUUUGAUCUGCACUGAAAUCUUGUUUGGGCAUGUAGGGGUUUUAGUGUUCUACCUCUGCUUGUUUUGUUCUAGUCGGCAGCAGCCCAAAUCUAGGGAACCUUUUUGGCUUUAUUUGGAUUUGUGAACUGUGUGAAAUGAAAGCUUUGUAUUGAUAAGGAUUCUUCUCGCUUUGAAUUGAUGCAGGAUACAUCGUGAGUAGGCGUGAUGGUGCUUGAUACCAAUACGUGUCCCCCGUUUUCGUGCAGUCUAACACCGUUUCUUGCUAAUUCGCAUUAGUUUAAUGGGACGAAUAAACUGUUUCCAUUGGGGAUUCUUGCACAUUUCUUGAACAUUUUCUCUCUCUUUUUUGAGUAUUAUUACUUUCUGGGGGUUGAUGUCCUUUCUUUUUGUGUGUGUCUGCUCCAAUUUUGCAGGAUCUUGAGUUAAGUUGGGCAAGGAGGUGGUUCAUUCCAGCAGGGCCCUUCUCGUGAGCCUACUAGUCUGACCGGCCUUGGUAUUUGGGGUUGUUCUGUGCUCUCUUUAAUUUGUGAGUUGUGACAGGUUCUUGAAGUGCAAUUGAUAAGAGUUUUAGUUGUAGAGGAAGAGAGGAUUUGCUAAUAUGGCGUUGGCAGGGACCUCCAAAGUAGUGCUGGGAUGUAUCGCCUUUGGGAUUUUCUGGGUGAUGGCCGUCUUCCCCACCGUCCCGUUCAUGCCUGUCGGACGGACGGCUGGGUCCCUCCUUGGUGCUAUGCUAAUGGUCCUGUUCCGUGUCAUCUCCCCGGAGGACGCUUACGCUGCGAUUGACCUCCCGAUCAUUGGCCUGCUCUUUGGGACAAUGGUCGUCAGCAUCUUCCUUGAGAGGGCUGACAUGUUUAAGUACCUCGGCAACCUGCUCUCAUGGAAGAGCAGGGGUAGCAAGGACCUGCUCUUCCGAGUUUGCAUUGUGUCUGCGUUUGCAAGCGCGCUUUUCACCAAUGACACAUGCUGUGUUGUGCUCACUGAAUUCAUCCUCAAGGUUGCCAGGCAGAACAACCUACCACCACAGCCUUUCCUUCUGGCCCUUGCCACCAGUUCUAACAUCGGCUCUGCCGCAACGCCGAUCGGUAACCCUCAGAACCUUGUCAUAGCUGUGGAGAGUGGGAUUUCAUUUGGUCAGUUCCUGCUAGGAAUUUUCCCAGCUAUGAUUGUUGGGGUUCUGACAAAUGCUGCUAUACUCCUUUUGUACUUCUGGAAAUACUUGUCUGUGGAGAAGGACCAGGAAGGCGGGCAACCUGAAGGGCCGGAGGUGGUUGCCGACGAUGAGGUUACCUCACAUCGCUUCACACCGGCUAGGAUGUCACAUGUUUCGUCCCUGAACCCAGAUGAUGUGGAUUGCAUAAGUGAACCAAUCAUCAGGAGCAACAGUGUUAGUACCAGUGUGAACGAGAACCUGAGGAGCAGAAGCAUCAAUUCUGAGGCCGACAUUCAGCUUGCCAUCAAGUCUCUGCGGGCAUCGAGCAUGUCGCACGAGAUGGUAGAGGUCUCGACGGUUCCUGAUAGGAGAGAUGAAGGUGCAUCCUCAAGGAAGUUCACUAGAACUGCUAGCCAGCAAAGGAGUGUGAUAAUAGAGGACCUGCCACCCUCCCCAGAGAGCAAUGGGGAAAAGGAGAAAGAAGCAGAGGUCGCAGAGAAGAGGUGGAAAAUUCUUGUGUGGAAGACAGCUGUUUACCUUAUAACUCUUGGUAUGCUCAUCGCACUUCUAAUGGGGCUUAACAUGUCCUGGACUGCAAUCACUGCAGCUCUGGUUCUCCUGGCACUUGAUUUUACAGAUGCACAGGCUUGCCUUGAGAAGGUAUGCUCCUCAAAUUUUGACCAAUGCUUGGAGAGUUGAUACUUUUCUUAGCAUGAACCAUGAUCAUCUUCUUGACUUGCAGGUGUCAUACUCAUUGCUGAUCUUUUUCUGUGGGAUGUUUAUUACGGUUGAUGGCUUCAACAAAACUGGCAUCCCGAACACACUAUGGGAGCUAGUGGAACCAUAUUCACGAAUUGAUAGCGCCAAAGGAGUUGCACUUCUUGCGGUGGUGAUUCUUAUCCUUUCAAAUGUGGCCUCAAAUGUUCCAACAGGUAAUUUUUUUUCAAAUUGAUUCUUAUCCUUGCGGUGGACGGAUUAUUUUUUCAAAAUUUGUACAGAAUUUUGAUCCAUCCUGUUCAUCCUAUGCCUGAACUUUUCCUCUUUCUUUUUUUUUCAGUCUUGUUGCUCGGUACAAGAGUGGCUGCGUCCGCUGCCGCGAUCUCUCACGAUUCAGAGAGGAAGGCCUGGCUCAUCCUUGCAUGGGUGAGCACCGUGGCCGGGAACCUCACCCUCCUGGGUUCCGCCGCGAACCUGAUUGUCUGCGAGCAGGCCAGGCGCGCCCAGUUCUUCGGCUACAACCUCACCUUCUGGAGCCACCUCCGGUUCGGGGUGCCGUCGACCAUCGUCGUCACGGCGAUCGGGCUGCUCAUCGUCAUCAGUUACUGAUGAAGGCAGAAGAUAGUAAGUAGUGUACGAGAAGCAGAACGGAUAAAUCCAUCCAUCCAAUAAGAAACUACAUGUAAAAUAGGCUUGUAACUCUCUCUCGUGUGUGCGUCAGUAUGUGUAUGUCUCCGUCUGUGCUCUUGCUCAUUUUAGUGCUGCCAAGCUAAGGGAACCGUGAGCAGACUGCAGAUGGCUGACCGUGUAGCCUGCAUUUUCAUUCCUGAACGGAGGUUGCAAAUAGGGUUAAUGAAGAAUGGUAUGGUAAUCUGAUUGCAGUUUUGAUGUUCUAGAUGCUUAGAACCCUUGAUUUAGUCCAAAUUUGGUUUUGAGUUCCGGAGCAAGCGUUUAAGUAGUUCGUUCGUUUCCGAAACUGAAGGUCAGCUGAGACUUGAAAUUCUGCUUUCAAAACCCGAAACACCGGUGAAGUUUGGGCUAAAACUCGAAACAGCCCAUCGCCUUACUGGGCCAAAGUUGGAAGCAGCCCAAUAGCUACAACUUCCGCCCUUCACUAAGCACCAGGCCCCCUCGAGAUUCGAGAGACCCUUUGCCAGUUCCCGCCGCCGCCGCUCCCGCUCCCGCCACCGUCAACGCCUCUCUCUACCGCCGCCGCCGCUGGAUUGAACAUAGAAGUCGACAGUUCCACGAGCGCGGUUCUAGCGCCGGGUGCGAGGCUCCGCCGCCGCGAUGGCGGUGGACGCGGACAGGCCGUUGGUUCGAAUUAUUUCGUCUACCUCAGGCAAGAAGGGUACGGUGGAGCUGAAAUCAAGGCCAGACACACCCGACGUGAGCAACCUCCAGAAACCCUCGGAUUUCGUGCAUGCUUUCAUGCUCGGAUUCGACACCGCGGAUGCCGUCGCCUUGCUACGCCUUGUUGAUGACCAAGGAUGUGGAGACGCCGCGCUUCCGAGCUAGGGGAGCACCUGUCGCGUGGCAUCGGACGGCUCUCGGGGAAGGCGGGCAAGACCAAGCAUUGCCAUCGCGCGGACACCAGCGAAGAUCCAUAUCCUUGGGUCCUUUGUCAACAUCAGGGUUUGCUCGGGCUCGCUGUGCAAUCCUGGGUCUCCCUGCAGCUGGUGGCAAGGUGCAUGUUGUACUCCAAGCUAAGGGCUGUGUGUCUGCAUGCUAGGUUGUUGGCGGAAAGGUAUUAGCGUCCUCGCUGGGAGGCGGGGACGGGUGGCCGCGUCCCCUGCGGAUCGGAUCAUACUGCCGGCCGGCGGCCUGUGCAUACGGUACGAAGGGGUUGGCAAGUUUCUGUUGCGCGCACGGUAGCCCACUGGACUUGCAUUGGACACUUUGGCAGAGGGCGGCGGUGUUCUAGGCUUUAGCCUCGUGGUCGUGGAUGAACGACGAUCGAUGGGCUCUCGCUCUGGCGUUUCCAUCCAACGUGAACGCCCUGCUGUCCAGCUGCUCGCUGCCGUACGUACGUACGUAGCUCAGUAGCUGUGCCCACGGCACACUCGCGUGCUUGCAUGUGCAUGCCACGAGGUUUUGCACCGUCAAGUACUCUCUGUUCUUUUCCGUGGCAUAAAUCAUUCAACGCCCAAGGAAAACACGCAAUGGUCGUCCCUAGCUAGCUGCUCGAUCGAAAUGGUCGUGUCAUUUUCUUCGUCUUUAGCACCAAGAGGAGGACAAGGUGACGUGGUGCCUGAUCAUCGUCGACCCGGCGGUCGUUGCGACAUCGAUCAAAGGAUGCACAAGGGUCCACACUGUGCAUGCUGCAAAACGUUGACCGGAUCGGUCGGAGGAGAGGAGAGAAGAGUAGCAGCUAUCUAUACUACGGUUCAGUUUAAUUUAAUUUGACGCAUCUGAUCUUCAGUCCAUUGCAUAGCUUCUCCAGCAAUAACAAGAAUGGAACCAUAGGCUCCUAUGCUGGAAGCAUUUCGGGGUACAGGUCUAACCACCUCAACUCCCCGUUUCUGGCAUGCUAUAGUUUUUCUAGUAUCUUGACGACGGGAUCACAGGAAUGCUGGGAGAUGACCGGUAAGCCAGAUGCUUCGCGAACCACCGGUACAUUUCGUUGCACUUGAAUCGCCCUCGUUAAGAAGCGUGGUUCGUAUACAUACAUAUACUUGAUGGUGUAAAAAUUAAAGAUAAGAGGUUUCGGAAACACACCAACAAAAAAAGAUCCAGAUAAAAAACUAACAGCCGGAUCGAAUAACUAUGGGACUGACUAUUUCUGAAGUGCUUCAAAGGAAGAUACUAGCUAGUACUUUUCAAUAAUUGUCAAUAGCGGAACAAUCUUGGAUGUUGAUUGUUGAUCUUGAUCCAAGAUUCUUUAGACGGUGGUCGAACAAGAAAUUUGUUUGAAGCGCUCGAAUAAUAGCAAAAUCGAAGAGCUACGACCAAUAUAAUAUUGGCUGUGAAAAACAAUCGAUCAGAGAGAACAGCACAUGAUCAUGGAUGCGGAGAUUGUACAUGAGAGCAAAUCAGAAACACCUUCGCACAAGCUUUAAUAUCUCAAAUUCAUAUUAUUCAUAACAGUGGUCCACACAUCGAGGAGCGGGGUAACAAAGGAGUAGCGUGCUACAACACCAAUUAACUAAUAACUAUUAGUACAAAAGAAGAACACCAACGUUACACCAUGACACCACUUCAGAUCAUAACCCUCUGGACAUUGCUAUAGCCAAGAACACAAAGGUUCAUCUCCACCUAUCUCCAUCCAUGCAUCACCCAAUAGAGACACCACCCCCAGAUCAGAACAGAACAAUUGCCAAAGGAUACAAGUUGCCCUACCUUAUUAGUAGAGAGGUAAAACUCGCCGUCGUCGACGACGCUGGCGGCCACGGCCGCCACUCCUCAACAAGGGGAGUAGCUAGCCGCCAGCUCCAUGGCCACAAGCCCACGCCCCCACCCUAUGGGCGUCCGAGGCGCCGCCACCCAUUACCGAGACACGCUCCAGAAUAAGAACACGACCACCAUGGCAUGACAUAAGCUGGUAGCUAGCUAGAUCUUUGCGUGUGCUUACAUGGUGGUGUUCGCGGAUAGAUAAUGUAUGGGAGCUACUAGCGUGCUCGCCCCCUGCCGCCCCGGGCGUACGUGGGCUUAAGAGGGGGAGAAGAGGGAGCUCCCAUUGGGUGCUUUUAUGUGGACGCUUCGCUGCCUCUUUGAGGAUUCGAGGGGCUUUCCUGCAGAAACCCUUUUCUUUUCUUUUUUAUUCUAAUGCCAAAGCUCCUCCCCUAUGCAUUCAUGCUACCUAAAUCCUCGCAACUUUGCAC